rnacentral:rRNA from 1 species
CCUACGGGUGGCAGCAGUGAGGAAUAUUGGUCAAUGGACGAGAGUCUGAACCAGCCAAGUAGCGUGAAGGAUGACUGCCCUAUGGGUUGUAAAUUUCUUUUAUAAAGGAAUAAAACGAGGCACGUGUGCCUUUUUGCAUGUACUUUAUGAAUAAGGAUUGGCUAACUCCGUGCCAGCAGCCGCGGUAAUACGGAGGGUCCGAGCGUUAUCCGGCUUUUUUGGGUUUAAAGGGUGCGUAGAUGGGUUGUUAAGUCAGUUGUGAAAGUUUGCGGCUCAACCGUAAAAUUGCAAUUGAUACUGGCAGUCUUGAGUACAGUUGAGGUAGGCGGAAUGCGUGGUGUAGCGGGGAAAUGCUUAGAUAUCACGAAGAACCCCGAUUGCGAAGGCAGCUUACUAAACUGUGACUGACAUUGAUGCUCGAAAGUGUGGGUAUCAAACAGGAUUAGAUACCCGUGUAGUC